GGGAUUCAGACUAGUGUCUCAAGGACACCUCAGCAGGGUGGUGUGUGGCUGCCAUUGAAGCUGGAUAUUCCUAUUUACUGAUAGGAGUCACGGCUGAGCAGUUUUGGAGAGACGUCUUCCUGUCUCCCUCUUCACUCCCUGCUGAAUCUGCCAUUCCAUGCAGAGUGGGGGGGCAACAUGGCCAGGGUAUCUUCCCACGAUCUAUCUGGGAUGGAGCCAGAAGGACAGAGAUCCACAGCUGAAAGAAUGGAGGACACAGAGAGAGGAAUGACGAGUGUCACCCUU